rnacentral:rRNA from 1 species
AUACGGAGGGUGCAAGCGUUAUUCGGAAUCACUGGGCGUAAAGGACGCGUAGGCGGGUUGGCAAGUCAGAUGUGAAAUUCUACAGCUUAACUGUAGAACUGCAUUUGAAACUGCUAACCUAGAGUAUGGGAGGGGGAGAUGGAAUUAGUGGUGUAGGGGUAAAAUCCGUAGAUAUCACUAGGAAUACCGAAAGCGAAGGCGAUCUCCUGGAACAUAACUGACGCUAAGGCGUGAAAGCGUGGGGAGCAAACAGGAUUAGAUACCCUAGUAGUCC